UGUGGCCCUCCUCUGGACUUGCUCACAGAGUUCCAUGUCCUUAAUAUGUUGGAGACACCAGAACUGCAUGCAAUACUCCAAGUGGGGUUUCACAAGAAGAUCUGGUCUCUUCCUCAAAGCAAUGCUUCAGAUAUUGGCACAAAAUAGAUUAAGUUCAGCAGAACAUCUGUUGCGUAGUGGUGGCUCAUAGAGGUGAAAACAUUCUCUUCUCUCUGUUGUGAAGUCAUAUUCAACAUAUGAGAGAAACAUGUAAGAAACAGAGAGGAGAGCAACAGAGAAAAUCAGUGAGCCCUGAGGAAGAGAAGAAGACAAGCUCUGAGAGAAACUGAAGCCACCUCACUCCAGAUCAGGCAUGGGUUUGGGGGUCCUUACUGACAAAGAGAAAAUGAUGAGGAAGGAAGAGGACAAGACAGGUUUGCAGCAAGGCACAAAACUGCUGAAUUUUAAUCCAGGAUAUAAAAACCCUCUUGGAUUGGAACUCACCAAACAAGUCUCAGCAGACAAGAAGAAUAUGUGGAUAUAUGGAUAUAGAAGGUUAUAUCUGUUCUGAGACAAACUGAAUAAAAUCCUUCAUGGUCA